AACGAACGCUGGCGGCAUGCCUAACACAUGCAAGUCGAACGAGACCUUCGGGCCUAGUGGCGCACGGGUGCGUAACGCGUGGGAACCUGCCCUUAGGUUCGGAAUAACUCCCCGAAAGGGGUGCUAAUACCGGAUAAUGUCUUCGGACCAAAGAUUUAUCGCCUUUGGAUGGGCCCGCGUUGGAUUAGCUAGUUGGUAGGGUAAAAGCCUACCAAGGCGACGAUCCAUAGCUGGUCUGGGAGGAUGAUCAGCCACACUGGGACUGAGACACGGCCCAGACUCCUGCGGGAGGCAGCAGUGGGGAAUGUUGGACAAUGGGCGAAAGCCUGAUCCAGCAAUGCCGCGUGAGUGAUGAAGGCCUUAGGGUUGUAAAGCUCUUUUACCCGGGAUGAUAAUGACAGUACCGGGAGAAUAAGCUACGGCUAACUCCGUG
rnacentral:rRNA from 1 species